GCAGGUUUGGUUCCAAAAUCCUAACAAAAAUACUGGACCCCGUGCUGGAUGUAGAGAAGACAGCAGUUUUCAGAUACCUCUCCUCUUCCAGAAGCAGAUUUGGGUUACAAUGGUCACAUUGCGGUUCCAUUAGCCUGCCACCUAAAUUCAACUACUUCAGCGCACCACCAGAAUAUCUUCUCAGAGGCCUGGAGCUGUGUGUCCGGAAAACUCCAGGAAGGAAAGAAAGGGGGCCCUCAACUCCUGAUUUCACAGGCGAAGCUCCACCCUGGGCACCAUUUGUGUUGCCUGACCAUAGGGACAUUCAGCCAGUGUCGCGGUAAACUCCACAGCGGCUUUGCUACUUGCAAAUCAGAUACUGAGGGGCAGCACCAGCAGCCAAAGCUAGCGCCAUUAAGAAUAAAAC